rnacentral:rRNA from 1 species
ACGAUUAAAGCUCCCUUCGGGGAGUGUAUAGAGUGGCGCACGGGUGAGUAACACGUAAGUAAUCUACCUUCGAGUGGGGAAUAACAGUCGGAAACGGCUGCUAAUACCGCAUAAUGCAGCGGCAUCGCAAGAUGACAGUUGUUAAAGAUUUAUUGCUUGAAGAGGAGCUUGCGGCAGAUUAGCUAGUUGGUAAGGUAAUGGCUUACCAAGGCUACGAUCUGUAUCCGGUCUAAGAGGACGGUCGGACACACUGACACUGAAUAACGGGUCAGACUCCUACGGGAGGCAGCAGUCGGGAAUUUUGGGCAAUGGGGGAAACCCUGACCCAGCAACGCCGCGUGAAGGAUGAAGUAUUUCGGUAUGUAAACUUCGAAAGAAUGGGAAGAAUAAAUGACGGUACCAUUUAUAAGCUCCGGCUAACUACGUGCCAGCAGCCGCGGUAAUACGUAGGGAGCAAGCGUUGUUCGGAUUUACUGGGCGUAAAGGGCGCGUAGGCGGCGCGGUAAGUCACUUGUGAAAUCUCUGAGCUUAACUCAGAACGGCCAAGUGAUACUGCAGUGCUAGAGUGCAGAAGGGGCAAUCGGAAUUCUUGGUGUAGCGGUGAAAUGCGUAGAUAUCAAGAGGAACACCUGAGGUGAAGACGGGUUGCUGGGCUGACACUGACGCUGAGGCGCGAAAGCCAGGGGA